rnacentral:rRNA from 1 species
CUUCAUGAAGCUGGAAUUGCUGUAAUGGCAGGUCAGCAUACUGCCGUGAAUACGUUCCCGGGCCUUGUACACACCGCCCGUCACACCAUGAGAGUUGGGAAUACCCGAAGCCUGUGAGCUAACUUUUAGAGGCAGCAGUCGAAGGUAGAAUCAAUGAUUGGGGUGAAGUCGUAACAAGGUAGC